rnacentral:piRNA from 2 species
UAGGACUUGAGUUUGGGACACUACAUCCUG